ACUUGUGAAGUCACAGACAGCUCAGUUUGCAUAUCUGAAACGCAAGUGGCUGGUGGGGCAUGGUGUGAAAAUGCCUUUAUUACAAGGAACUUAAGCUAAAACUAGGAGGCCACCACUUAGCACUUUACUGAUUGUGAAGAUCAUCACAUCAGAUUCUCCACCAAACUGCUCUGAUGAGCAGUGUCAUCCCUGGACAGCUAGCAGGAUAUACAUUUCCAUUCACAAAUAUCUAUGUGGAGACACAGAACCUGCUGCACUGUUGGGGAAGUUUUGCUGCCAAUGUCUGAAUGGAUAUGAGCAAAAAGACCAAAACUAUUCUCUGUCUUUGAUGCCAAUCAGAAUUGACACAGACAUAUCUGAGACUCUUUUUACAGGAGGUAUGUG
rnacentral:lncRNA from 1 species